rnacentral:rRNA from 1 species
UACGUAGGCAGCGAGCGUUGUUCGGAGUUACUGGGCGUAAAGGGUGUGUAGGCGGUUCUCUAAGUUUGGCGUGAAAUCUCCCGGCUCAACCGGGAGGGUGCGCCGAAAACUGGAGGGCUAGAGUGCGGGAAGGGAGAGUAGAAUUCCUGGUGUAGCGGUGAAAUGCGUAGAUAUCAGGAGGAAUACCGGUGGUGUAGACGGCUCUCUGGACCGCGACUGACGCUGAGACACGAAAGCGUGGGUAGCAAACAGG